rnacentral:tRNA from 1 species
GCCUGGCUGGCUCAGUUGGUUGAGCAUCUGACUUCAGCUCAGGUCAUGAUCUCAAGGUCUGUGAGUUCAAGCCCCUCAUCGGGCU